AAUAUAUAUAUAAAAAAGAAAGAGGAAAAGGAGAUUUAAGAAAAUGGCCUUUUUUCUUCCCAAAAUCUCGUCCUCUCCCCUCCUUCCUCACCCCUGCGCUUCCCAAAAUACCCCUCCGAGGCCCUUCCUCUCUUCUUCUCCUCUCACCAAUCUCGAGCCCCCGCCCCUCCGCGAUGCCACGCGCGAGAAGCCCCCGGCGCUGCACGGCAAGCCCCCCGCCGCGUUGCACGAAACCAGGAAGAAGAGCGAGAAGAACAGCGAUAAGGACGAGUUCUAUCUAAACCUUGGCCUCGCCGUCCGCACCCUCCGCGACGAUCUCCCUUCCCUCUUCUCCAAAGACCUCAACUACGACAUCUACCGGGAUGAUAUCACCUUCAUCGAUCCACUCAAUACCUUUCACGGGAUUGAGAACUAUAAAUUGAUCUUCUGGGCGCUCCGAUUGCAUGGCCGGAUAUUAUUUCGGGAGAUUGGGUUGAAGAUUUCUCGGGUUUGGCAGCUGUCGGAGAACAUGAUCUUGAUCCGGUGGGAGCUGCAGGGAGUCCCCCGGGUGCCGUGGGAGGCGAGGGGAAGAUUCCAGGGGACGUCGAGGUAUCGAUUGGAUCGGAAUGGGAAGAUAUAUGAGCAUAAAGUUGACAACUUGGCGUUCAAUUUCCCCCGGGUGGCGGUCAGGACGGUGACCGUGAUGGAUUUGGUGGCUGGCACAUGCCCACCGAGUCCCAAUUUGACGUUUUUGGGGGAGGAGGUGGAGGGUUCUGGUGUUUUGAGGCCAUGCUCGUGGAUGAAGCUUUAUCAGGCGGUGAGGGGGACUCUGGAGCAAGAGGAGCAAGGUUUGUUUGGGAUUGGUAUCGAGGGUUUUGUCACUUGUUCAUAGCUUGGGCAUUGGAAGAAAGCUAGUGGUGUAUAUAUGAAGUGAAGGAAAUGUUACGAGGCUGCUUCUAUUUUCAUUCUACACAAAGAAAAUAAAGGACAAAGUAGAUACCAAGACUUAAAGGCACGCUAACACCACAAGAUGAAGGUAUUCUAAGUGUCUGCACUUAACAAAAAGCAUGUAGAGCCACAGGAAGAAGGCCAAGUGCUUUAUUUAUAUGACUCAUGAAAUUUAGUUGAAAGAAGGCCAAAUUCCAAGAGCAACAUUUCUUAUAUGAUGAUAGGACAGCAAGACGAAAAAAGAAAAAAGCAAAGCAACCCUCAGUUAUGUGGUUACAGGACAUGGUCAAUGAUGAAAAAUCUUGAUAUCAGUUGUAGGACAGAAAGCAAUACUGUGAGAGGUAAACAGUGAGAUGAUCUGACAGGCCAAGCACAGUUAAUGAGGGCAGCAAGCACCUUAUAGUAAGCCAUGUUUAUCAGGUGUAGUGCUGGUAACCAUAUGCUUUUUUUUUCCUUUGGAUGAUAAAUAAGGCAGAUGGUACUUUCUUUGCUCUCAUUCAUCUCUGAUAAUAAAGGGCAAAGAAUUGGAGUCUGAAGGUGUGGCUUCUGACUCACAAGUUUAAUCAAUUACAAAGAAAGGGUGUGGUUUAGAAUGGUAACACUUGGACAAAGAAGUUAUUGGUAGAGUGGCACGAAGAAUGAACCGUAGCAAUGCAGCAGUGGCACAGUUUGAUUAAAUUACUCAUGAUGGAAGAGCAACAACACAGUAUGAUACAACAGUGAAUGAAUCUAUGCAGCAAUCAUGGGCUGGUACAACAGCAAGGAGAGUUAUCAACAGUGGUGAUGAAUGGUGAAGCUUACAAAAGCUGGUACGGCAGUGGUGAAGUAGAUGUGGAGCUGUUAUGCAUACUCUACUCUUGGCAUGGCCGCAAGCAGUUAUGAACCUGGCAUUAAAUGACAAGGCUCAUGAUCGGGACUUAGCAAACGGAUAUGAACGAGGCCUGGGGGCUGCCAUACUGUCAUCUUCGCUCAACAUGGUGGUGAGCAGGGCUGUUGACACCACAAUGAACCGCAAGGCUUAGGGCCAGGAAACAGUGAGUAGGCAACAAAUGAGGCACAAGGGUGUCAGUCUGUGGUUUUCCCUGCAUGGUGGCAAUGCAAGAAGUGAAAACCUUUUUUUGUCUCGUUUAUCAUCAUCCUUUUUGCAACAGCUAGCCUAUGAAUCUCUUGCAAUAUUUUUAUCAUUGAGAUUCCAUUAGGCCCCUAAUUUUGUUUGACUUUCACAAAGAUGAUGGAGAAAUACUGCUGAUAAUUUCUUGA